GCGCGUAGUGCGGUUGGGGAUUGAAACUCGGGCACUGUCACAUUCGUAACAGAAUGUCGGGUUACGAGGCAUCAACAAACGUGGCCAACAAUGGCGACUUUUUGGAAGUUAACUCGGAGCGUUCUUCAAAAUACAUUUACGUUUUGACGUUUCUAAGCGCAAUUGGAGGGUUCCUUUUUGGCUAUGACACGGGUGUGGUGUCUGGUGCUAUGUUGCUCAUAAGGAAGGAAUUGGCGCUGACUACUGCCUGGCAUGAGGCAAUUGUGUCGGCGACUAUUGCAGCAGCCUGGAUGUUUGCCUUGAUGGGAGGCUGGCUGACUGAUCGAUUGGGAAGGAAACCAGUAAUCCUAGUAGCAAGUUUCGUGUUCACGGCUGGUUCUGUGAUCAUGGGUAUAGCGCCUGGCAAGGUACUGCUCCUCAUUGGGAGAAUUAUUGUGGGGAUUGGAAUCGGUUUGGCAAGCAUGAGUGUACCUGUGUACAUAGCAGAGAGUGCAGUGCCCAGCAAGCGUGGUCGAAUGGUUACUACAAAUUCACUGUUCAUAACUGGUGGGCAGUUUAUAGCAGCUGUCCUUUGUGGUGCCUUCAGUAAAACAUAUGAAGGCUGGAGGUAUAUGUUGGGCCUUGCAGCAAUACCAGCAUGCAUUCAAUUUUUUGGUUUCCUUGGAAUGCCUGAGAGUCCAAGAUGGCUUGUUUCAAAGAAGAGGUACGAUGAUGCUCUCAAAGUUCUGAGUUCUAUCCGAGGAGACAGAGCAGUUGCGUCUGAUGAACUUGAGCUGAUCAAGGCUUCAUGUCUUGAAGAUGAAGAACUCCAGCAAGCAAAACAAGCAGGUUCAGGGCAAUCAACUUUUGUGAAAAUCCUGAGAACAAGUCACACACGCCAUGCAUUAAUUUUGGGAUGCGCCCUGCAAGCAUUCCAACAGCUGUCGGGCAUCAACACUGUGAUGUAUUACAGUGGUAGUAUAAUUCAGAUGGCUGGAGUUAAAGACCUAUCUCUGGUAAUUUGGUUAGCUGCUGCUACAGCAAGUGUGAACUUCCUGUGUACAUUCAUUGGCUUUUACUUAGUAGAGGUUUCUGGACGGAGGCCUUUGUCGUUGUGGUCUCAGGCUGGGGUUGUACUGGCUCUCAUCAUUCUGGGUGUUUCUUUCCACCUGAUGGCACUAGACUCACCAGGCAUUAGCAGUCCAUUUGAUGCACAGGAAGGGCCGUGUUCUGCAGCUGAGACAUGUGCAUCUUGUAUGGACCAAUUAGCAGGCUGCGGCUUUUGCUACUGGGAUCUUGAUGUGGCAACUAAUGGAACAUGCCUGCCUGUGAAUCCUGAAGGUGAAGCAUUAGUGGGGCUGUGUUCUAACAUGACAUCAACUCUUGUGGAUGAUGGGCUGACACUGGCUGUGGGAUGGUGCCCAUCACAUUAUUCUGCUCUUGCAGUUGCAGCACUUGGCAUCUACCUUUUGUUUUUUGCUCCAGGUAUGGGUACUAUGCCAUGGACGAUAAAUUCUGAAAUAUAUCCAACCUGGGCCAGAAGCUUUUGCAAUAGUUUUGCAACAUCUACAAAUUAUGGAUGUAAUCUGAUAGUUUCAAUGACUUUCCUCACACUUACUGAAGUGUUGACCAAGGAGGGUACAUUUUAUCUGUAUGCUGGGAUAGCUCUCGUGGGAUUGGUUAUCUUGUUCUUCAUACUACCUGAGACCAAAGGAAAAUCACUGGAGGAGAUGGGACAGCUGUUUUCUGGACCUUGGUGUGCAAGAAUGAAGAAAGAAAAUGCAAAGAAUGUUCAGAUGGAGCAAUUUCUUUCUAAUGAGGAAAGACAGAAUGCAAAAUAUUGAAUGCUGCUGGUCUCUUUUUCGCAUGUCAACUGCUGCUGCACCGUGUCAUCUGUGAAAUUCAAAAAUUACAGAAAAUGCAAGCAGCAAAUUGUGAUGCUUCUUUCGCAGUAGUGGAAAUGAACGCAGCUGGAAUUUAGCAUUGUUGAGUAUUCUUGAGAGGUAUUGUGUGUACCAGUUGUGAAAUAUUUUGGUUAUAACCAAGGUGUUAUAAGGACUUCUUGGUGAGAAUGCCAAAGAAAAUAGCAUUUCUUAUUGUUCAUUCAUUCAUUACUCCGUGGGCAGAAAACUGUAUAUGAGUACAGUGUUUUAGUAAUGUGUAUUUAUGUUGAGUUAGUGUCGGUAUGUUACAUGCACUUUUCUGAAGAGAACUGAAUGUGGAGAUUGUGACCUGCAUUGUAAUAGAGUGGAAAAAAGAUUUUUAAUGACAGAUAUUUUUAUAUAGUUAUUUAUAUUUGAAUUAUAAAUUGCAGAAACAAGUUCCAUGUACUGAUAGCUGUUUCCCUAGCUUGAGAGUGAUUGUUGUUGAAGUUACUGAUUAAAAGGAAGUGUAUUUACUGUUGUACCUUUAUCUAAAAUGGAAUAAAAUGACUGAUUUAAGCAUUUCUCAUUUUUAAUGAAGUUUGAGGACUGUGAAAUUAUCUAAUUAUUUAUUCUGAGUAAUGAAAGUAUGUGCAAAACAUUUGCUGCUGGUAAUUACUUAAUCAUUUGCGAAGUGAAGUGGAGUAAAUAGAAUUUUUUGAUUAUAUAACUUAUCACUAUAAAAUUCAGUGUGUAAAAUUAUAACAUAAAACACAUCAUUUCCCUACUAGGAUAAGGAAUUAUUUAUGUAUUACCAACUUCAGAUAUGUGAUUAUUAAAUAGCACUUACUUGUUGAUAUCCUGAACAAAGUAAAUGCACACUUUGUUUUAGCACUACUAUGUUACUCAGAUAAUGGUGCUUUUUCACUGUUCCUUACAGUUUAAUGUUUCCCCUCACUGCAUUUAAUGACAAAAUAUGUACAUUUCACAAUUUGUGGCAUUGAUGUACUUACAGGAAAAGAAUAAAUUUAUAUAAAAUUUGUCAUUUACAAUGUUUUCCUAGUAUCACAAGAUAGCAGCAGAUCUGUCGUG